rnacentral:rRNA from 1 species
UACGUAGGUGGCAAGCGUUGUCCGGAAUUAUUGGGCGUAAAGGGCGCGCAGGCGGCCGAUUAAGUCUGAUGUGAAAUCCCACGGCUUAACCGUGGAAGGUCAUUGGAAACUGAUUGGCUUGAGUGCAGAAGAGGAGAGUGGAAUUCCACGUGUAGCGGUGAAAUGCGUAGAUAUGUGGAGGAACACCAGUGGCGAAGGCGGCUCUCUGGUCUGCAACUGACGCUGAGGCGCGAAAGCGUGGAUAGCAAACAGG